GAUGAACGCUAGCGGCAGGCCUAACACAUGCAAGUCGAGGGGCAGCACAGAAACAGCAAUGUUUUGGUGGCGACCGGCGGACGGGUGCGUAACGCGUAUGCAACCUACCUUUAACAGGGGGAUAACGGAGAGAAAUUUCCACUAAUACCCUCUAACAUCGAUCAAGGCAUCUUGAUUGGUUGAAAACUCCGGUGGUUAAAGAUGGGCAUGCGUUGUAUUAGGUAGUUGGUGAGGUAAUGGCUCACCAAGCCUACGAUUCAUAGGGGGACUGAGAGGUUAGCCCCCCACACUAGUACUGAGACACGGACCAGACUCCUACGGGAGGCAGCAGUGAGAAAUAUUGGUCAAUGGGUGCAACCCUGAACCAGCCAUGCCGCGUGCAGAAAGACGGCUCUAUGAGUUGUAAACUGCUUUUAAACAGGGAUAAAGCACAGUAUGUAUACUGUGUUGAAGGUACUGUAAGAAUAAGGAUCGGCUAACUCCGUGCCAGCCGCCGCAGUAA
rnacentral:rRNA from 1 species